AUAUCAGAAGGCACACCCGGAGAACUGAAACAUCUUAGUACCCGGAGGAAGAGAAAGAAAAUUCGAUUCCCUUAGUAGCGGCGAGCGAAAUGGGAAGAGCCCAAACCAACAAGCUUGCUUGUUGGGGUUGUAGGACACUCUAUACGGAGUUACAAAGGACGACAUUAGACGAAUCAUCUGGAAAGAUGAAUCAAAGAAGGUAAUAAUCCUGUAGUCGA
rnacentral:rRNA from 1 species